GAGAUGUUUUUCAUUUUUGUUAGAGAAGGGGUUUAAAGAGAUGAUUUUAUGAUAAAUAGAACGCACAUUAUUUGGAACAUGUGAUCUGAAAGGGUUUGCUUUGCUUUGUUGAUCACAGGACUUCAACAUUUGCACAAGCUACUUAGCUAAGGAGAAGGACCUUGCAAAAAGUUACUCAACACACAACCCUCCUCUGCAUCCAAGGUUGGAACCACCUAUGUAAAAGAUAAAACACUAAGCAAGACACAAGCAGAAGAGGAUGUAUAGAUGGAUGUGUGUGUUCAAGAAUUGCACAGCAAGGAGGUGAAAUCGUCAUAUGAUUCAUAUUUGAAAGGUCUCACAAUAUUAAAGGUUUUUACAUAUUUUUUUGCUGAUUUGGUGGUUUUGGGGAGUCCCUGUGGCUUUCAUGUAUAAGAAACUUGUGGAGCCCUUUGGUAAUGCCUCCUUGACAUUAAUAUCCCAUUUCAUAUUUGUGAAUGCUCUGUUUUCCAGUUUAUUGUUGAUGUCUUAUACUUUCUAUUACCCUCUGUUUUUUUAGACGUAAAACAUUUUUUGAAAAAUGUUUUUUUUUUCUUUGUA